UGAACUCCACAUACGCAUCCUUUGCUGAGGAUACGGUUAACGGAGCGAAAGCGACGUUCAACCGCAAAAGAAGCAGAGGGGGCUUAGUGGUGGGGUGACUGCGUACCUUUUGUAUAAUGGGUCAGCGACUUAUAUUCUGUAGCAAGGUUAACCGUAUAGGGGAGCCGUAGGGAAACCGAGUCUUAAUUGGGCGUUAAGUUGCAGGGUAUAGACCCGAAACCCGGUGAUCUAGCCAUGGGCAGGUUGAAGGUUGGGUAACACUAACUGGAGGACCGAACCGACUAAUGUUGAAAAAUUAGCGGAUGACCUGUGGCUGGGGGUGAAAGGCCAAUCAAACCGGGAGAUAGCUGGUUCUCCCCGAAAGCUAUUUAGGUAGCGCCUCGUGAAUUCAUCUCCGGGGGUAGAGCACUGUUUCGGCUAGGGGGCCAUCCCGGCUUACCAACCCGAUGCAAACUGCGAAUACCGGAGAAUGUUAUCACGGGAGACACACGGCGGGUGCUAACGUCCGUCGUGAAGAGGGAAACAACCCAGACCGCCAGCUAAGGUCCCAAAGUCAUGGUUAAGUGGGAAACGAUGUGGGAAGGCCCAGACAGCCAGGAUGUUGGCUUAGAAGCAGCCAUCAUUUAAAGAAAGCGUAAUAGCUCACUGGUCGAGUCGGCCUGCGCGGAAGAUGUAACGGGGCUAAACCAU
rnacentral:rRNA from 1 species